rnacentral:rRNA from 1 species
GGUGACCUCAGAUCAAGUAGGA